UCCUGAGAUUUGGGGAGUGUGACUGAGGG
rnacentral:piRNA from 2 species